UACAGAGGGUGCAAGCGUUAAUCGGAAUUACUGGGCGUAAAGCGUGCGUAGACGGUUAUGUAAGUCGGGUGUGAAAGCCCCGGGCUCAACCUGGGAAUUGCAUUCGAUACUGGAUAGCUAGGGUACGGAAGAGGGAAGCGGAAUUUCAGGUGUAGCGGUGAAAUGCGUAGAUAUCUGAAGGAACACCAGUGGCGAAAGCGGCUUCCUGGUCCAGUACCGACGUCAGGCACGAAAGCGUGGGGAGCAAACAGG
rnacentral:rRNA from 1 species